GAGAGAGAGAGAGAGAGAGAGAGAGAGAGAGAGAAUCUCCAGCAGGCUCUGCACCUCAGCAUGGAGCCUGACUUGGGGCUUGAACUCAGGAAAGUAGGAUCAUGAACUGAGCUGAAACCAAGAGUCAGAUGCUUAACUGAGCCACCCAGGUGCCCCUUGGCUAUUGCUGAUAGCACUGCUCUAAACAUUGGGGUGCAUGUGCCCCUUCAAAUUAGCAUUUUUGUAUCCCUUGGAUAAAUUCCUAGUAGUGCAGUUACUGGGUUGUAGGGUAGGUGUAUUUUUAACUUCUUGAGGAGCCUCCAUACAGCUUUCCAGAGCGGCUGCACCAGUUUGCAUUCCCACCAAUAGUGCAAAAGGGUUCCCCUUUCUCCACAUCCCCACCAACAUCUGUUGUUUCCUCGAUCGUUAAUUUUAGCCAUUGUGACAGGUGUGAGGUGGUAUCUCACUGUGGUUUUGAUUUGUAUUUCCCUGAUGAGGAGUGACAUUAAGCAUCUUUUCAUGUGCCUGUUGGCCGUCUGGAUGUCUUCUUUGGAAAAGUGUCUGUUCAUAUCUUCUGUCCCUUUCUUCACUGGAUUAUUUGUUUUUUGGGUGUUGAGUUUGAUAAGUUCUUGAUAGAUUUUGGAUACUAACCCUUUAUCUGAUAUGUCAUUUGCAAAUAUCUUUUCCUAAUCCGUUGGUUGCCUUUUAGUUUUAUUGAUUGUUUCCUUUGCUGCUCAGCCCUUUAAAGAUUAUUUCCCUAGACUCGGGGCUAGAUUGCAUUUCUUUUAAUGUAAAUUUUUAAGCAAAGUGUAACACAGAGAAAAAGGUACAAAUCAAGAGAGUACCAUAUCAUGGUAAGUCUUUCAAUGUGAGCAUCUCCCAAAGUAAUUAGCACCUAAGUCAGGAAAGAUUAUGUUAUUAACACCCCAGAAAUCUCAUGCCCCCGUCUAGUCCUACCAUGGUCCUAGCGUCUAACAUCAUUACAGCAAAACAAAACAAAAAAAAACCUCUACUGCUACAUAAUAUACAUACCUUAAAAUUUAAAGUAUAUCGUGGAUUUAGAAUGUUCAGAGAUGUGGGGCCAUCACUAAUCUAAGUUCAGAACAUUCCGUCACCCCCAGAAGAAACUCUAUACCCAUUAGCAGUCACUCCCCACAUUGGUUAGUUUUGCCUGUUUGUUAAUUUGCUCAUCUAUAAAUGGACUCAGUAUAUUUGACUUACUUUAUGUUUGAUUUCUCUCUCUUUUUUUUUUUUAAUAUUUGAGAGACGCAGCAUGUGUGUGAGCUGAGGAGGGGAAGAGAGAGAGGGUGAGAGAGGAUCCCAAGCAGUCUCCGUGAUGUCAGUGUUCAGCCCGAUGUGGGGCUCGAUCCCACAGACCAUGAGAUCAGGACCUGAGCUGAAAUCAAGAGUUUGAUGCUUGGGGCGCCGGGGUGGCUCAGUGGGUUAAGUGUCCAACUUUCACUUCGGUCAUGAUUUUGUGGUUCGUGGGUUCGAGCCCUGUGUCAGGUUCAGUGCUGACAGCUCAGAGCCUGGAGCCUGCUUUGGAUUCCGUGUCUCCCUCUCUCGUGUGCGCGCGCUCUCUCUCUCUCUCAAAAAUAAAUUGAAAAAAGAGUUGGAUGCUUAACCAACUGAGCCACCCAGGUGCCCCUGUUUCUUACAGUUUCUAAUCCUCAUUGUGUAUGGUUCUGGUUUGUUCAUUCUCAUUGCUGCGUUCCAUGAUUUAUCUAUUUUACUGUUGUUAGACAUUUGAGUUGGUUCUAAUUGUAUGAAUGUUGGGUAUGCAUCUUUUGGUGAAUAUGGGUAUACACCACGGUGUGAAAUGUCUGGGACAUAUGUACAUACUCAGUUGUACAGGAUACUGUCAAGGAAUUUUCCAAAGGACUUGUACCCUUGACACUCCCACGAGCAGGAUUUGAAAGUUCCAGGUCCUCCACAUCCUGGCUACACAUGAUAUAUCCUGUCAUUCUUGUUUUAGCCCUUCUGGUGGAUUAAAAUGGUAUUGUAUUGUGGCUUUAAUUUGCAUUUCCCUGAUGACAGAUAAAGCUGAGCAUCAUUUUUACGUGCUUACUGGCCAUUUGGAUAUUCUCUUUUGUGAAGUUUCCAUUCAAGAUUUUACUUUUGUCCAUUUCUUCUAUUGAAUUGCCUGCCUUUUUCUUACUGAUUUCCAUUUCUUUGUUCUGGCUAUGAGUCCUUUGUUAGAUAUAUGUGUUAGAAAUACUUCUCCCACUCUGUGGCUUGCCUCUGUGCUAGGUUACUUUUUAUGCGAAGGGGAAAUAAUUUUAUAACUAGCUCAGAUGUUAACAUAAUCUUUGUUGGCUGUCUUUGCCAGAUUUUAUAUAAAUCAUAUGUGUCAGUCUUCUUGCAAUUUUUUCUCUUGAUGGAUGAUGUCAUCAUACUGGUGUGCCUGAAGCGUAUAGGAUUUGAGAGAGAGGAAAUCUAGUGAGUUUUUGUAUCUUUGUUAAACUUUAGUUUUAUUAGAUUAUUAUUUAAGACUUGGCUAUUUUUCUUUUCCUUUGCUGUGCAAGUUAAGGUGCGUCUGCGUGUGGUGUAGACACUGCGGGUUGCUUACCCUGCUUUCAUUCUCCUCUCUCUGCUAAUAGAAGCUUCAUUUGUUCAGAGCUGCAGUGUGCAUAAUUAAAGCUGCUUGCUGAUUUAUGACUCUUUGAAAUUAGGGUUGGUUAUGUGACAUGUUCUGCCAGUAGCCCAUGUAGGAGAGGUCUGUUGGGUGGGAAUUCCAGGAAAGCUGUUGCUUUUCUAAGAGAAAGGAACAGACUUAGCCGGCAGACAUCUUCUGCCCGUCCUGGGUUCCUUUCUGGAAAGUGCUCCUGAGCCUCCGAGGCUUUGCCACUGUCCUGCAAUCAUGACGAUGAGAGAUAGGCGCUAAAGAUAGCAGAGUUGGUCGUGGGUGGUGUCAUGGGGUCAAAGUAUAAGCCUUGGGCUGCUUUCUUAUGUUGUCCAGAGAAAGACCGAUAGGAGAUGGAGAUCUACUUCUAUUUACGCAGGCUGAAAAGUUCCAUGAUUUGCUGUCUGCAGCUAGAGACCUGGGAGAGCUGAUGGUAGAAAUUCCAGCCUGAGUCCAAAUGCUUGAGACCCUGGAAAGCCAAUGGUGUAAGUUCUAGUCUGACGAAAGGAGAAGACCAAUACCCUAGUUCAACAAGUGGGGCUGAGAGAGGGAGCAUGUGUGAGCAUGCUCCCCAUGCCUUCAACUCAUUGGACAAGGCCCACCCACACUGCGAGGAGCCAUCUGCUUUACUCAGUCCAGUGAUUCAGACAUUAAUCUCCUCCAGAAUAAUGUGGGUUUUUUUCCCCCCAAGUUUAUUUUGAGAGACAGCGCGCGUGCUAGAGGGGCAGAGAGAGAGAGGGAGACAGAGAAUCCCAAGUCGAGCGUGGAGCCUGAGGAGGGGCUCAAAGUCACGAAACCAUGAGAUAAUGACCUGAGCUGAAACCAAGAGUCAGACACUUAACUGACUGAGCCACCCAGGUGCCUGCAUCCAGAAUAAUGUUGAGCCAGACAUCUGGGCACCCUGUGUUACCAGCCACGUUGACACAGUUACGCAUCACAGCGGUCUUCCUCGUGGCCUCUUGUUUUAUGAGAGGAGUAUGGGGUAAUUCCCCGGUUCAGGGUGUUCCCACAUAUGUUGCUGAAUUCAGCCCCUAAGAAAUACAGACAUUACUCAGAUUUCUUGGCUUACAAAAUCAAGACUUGUGGCAGGUACGUGACGGUGCUCUAGGGGUGCGCCUGCCUGAGCUGCAGUAAGGUGGGGCUUUGCCACAUCCUGCUAAGACAGAAAUGCACCUGCGUUCCUGUGCGUGAGUCUGUGGAUGUGGGCCCCCGGUCAUCUCAGCUGCAGAAAAGCCCUUCAUCCAACUGAUGUUAAAGGCAGUUCAGAGACCACCCGGUGCUGGAGACCCAGAGGAGUGCUUCUGGCCCGGAGGGGCAAUUCUGUCACCCGGCUUAUUAGACGGAAGCAUCUAGCUCUGGUCUCUCUCUGGUGUUUAUCCCCAGGUCUUUGUUAGAGUAACAAACGGCUUUGAGAGGGAAAAGUCCCAAAUACUUGUUACUGAUGUGAAAGAUACUUGAGAAGGUACAUGCUUGUGACUUCGUUACUUGGGGCAAAAUCAUCUUUGAUUCCCAUUAUGAGUCUGGGACUCACAUUAUGCCCACGUGGGCCUAAAAGGUACUUGUGGCUUUUUGUCCUUUAUACAGGUUUUUAAUAAUUUUUUUUAAUGUUCAUUUUUGAGAGAGAGCAUGAGCAGGGCCACCUAAUUGCUGAAGGAGGAAUGGUUCCGUUCGGCACUUUUCCACGCUUGGAGAACCAGCACUCGGAGAUCACGGCAUCGUAGGCUUGUGCCGCCUCUUCUGGGGCCUGAAUCCCGGCUCUGCGGGUCCCGCCAGGUGCCUGGGGCGCCCACUGGGUCCUCUCCUUGAAGGGUUGACUCCCUGCUCCACAGGGCACCUCCUUCAUGCUUCUAGGCCUUAACCUUCCCCCGCCUUUGUUUCCCUGCCCUGAGUGGUAGCUACCACUGACCGAGCCUGCUUUCUUAGCACCUUCUAGUGUGUUCUAGAAUGUACUUUUUAUUUUCUCCCUCCCUCCACUCACCAUAGAAUAGAAAUCUCUGCGGGCCAGGGAUUCCACACCUCUGGUUUGCUGCAGACGUGAGGUGAGAAGGAAUGAGCGGAUGGUCCUCCAGGGGUGAUUGCGAGACUUUGGGAUGAUGCCAAGAUUUUUGCCCGAGCCCUGGACGGUUGGAGUUGCCUGUGGCUCAGCCGAGGAAGGAGACGGUGGAGCAGGUUUGGAGGGGGAAGGUCAGAGCGUGAGCUCUGGCCAUGCUAGCAUGUUAACGUUUUAUUUAUUUUUGAGACAGAGAGAGACAGAGCAUGAACGGGGCAGGGGCAGAGAGAGAGGGAGACACAGAAUCGGAAGCAGGCUCCAGGCUCCGAGCCAUCAGCCCAGAGCCCAACGCGGGGCUCGAACUCACGGACCGCGAGAUUGUGACCUGAGCUGAAGUCGGACGCUUAACCGACUGAGCCACCCAGGCGCCCCCAUGCUAGCAUGUUAGAUCAUCUCCAGGUGGAGACGCUGACAGGAAGAUGUCCAAGCUCGGGGACACGGGGAUAAACACAGGUGUCGUCAGCCCCUACACGACACUUAAAACCGUGAGAGCAGAGGCCAGCUCCCGGAAGAGUGGGGGACGGUGAAGGGGAGAGAACAGAGCCGGGAAGGGCCGAUGCUGGGGCACCAGGGAGAUGAAAACUACCGAGGAGGUUGGAAACAGGAGCCCCGACUGACUGCUGUGAGCAGGAAAACCCGGGAGGACACCAUGUGCUGGCAUUCCAGAGAAGGACGCGAGGGGACCCACUGUGUCGUGUAGCCGACCCAGGGACCACAGAGAGACUAAGGAUGGCCCAAAGCCCGGAUUGCCUCAGCGUUGGUUCCGCCAUUCUGUGGGGACAGGACCCAGGCCCGGCACAUGCUGCGUAUGGGUAACUACUUGUAAGGAACAGUGAGACACAUGCUAAUGUAGCCAGAGACUGACCUCGAACGUCUAAUCCUUUUUGGUGGUAGGAGCACAUCAUUGAGAAUACGUCGUCUUUGUAUAAUUAACAAGGCAAUUAGAGAAAGGGAGACUUAGCCUCUACGACACAAACUGAGCUCUUCUGUAUCUAGCAAGACCGUGAGGGUAUCAGCUUUAGAUUGACUUAAAAGAAAAAAAAAAUCCGAGGAGGACACAGGCACCUGAAUUACAGACUUCCGGAGCCUGUUGAAGCACAGACCGCUUAGAAACAAAAUCUCCGAGAGGCAGCCAAGAUCUUUUCAUUUUGAAAAUGCUUUAAUAAGUGUUGACAACACUGUUUUGCAAAAUGUAAAGGUACUAUACAAAUUCUUAAUACAAAAAGAAUAAAUUAAAAGCAGAUUUCUUUUUAAUUCUGCAACUUUGUCUACAACAUACAUCCUUUUCAUUGAUUACAGUUGAACAGAAUCCAGUAAAAUCAUUUUACAUGCUCUACAGUCAGUUUCAGGAGCAACCUAAUCCUUUCUCCCCAUUAUUAAACUAGAGUCCAUUUUACACAACGUGUAAUAAACUAUUGACAUUAAUGUAUAUGUAAAACUUUACACCUAGUUAACUAAGCAGUAACUGGUCAUCUGAUAGCACCUGGAGGGGGGUUUGCUAUAUUUAGAACUAACACUGAAUGAAAACAAAUCGGAAUUUUAACAGUUUCAACACUCACCUGCAUAUAAUAAAACAAAACAAAAAAAAUCCACCUGUCUCACAACAAAGUCUGAUGUAGGUGUUCCCAACAGUCUUCAGGCUAAACAGGCAAUUUCUUACACGUAUCCCAAGAAUCCAGUAGGGGCUUAUAUCAGACCAGGGGCUUUAUAUUCCAUCUUACUUUGUUUUUAAAGAAAUCGGGAUCUGGGAAGAGCUUGCAAGUGCUUGUACAAAACAGCUAUUGUUUCCCACCACACUGGUCAUGAAUCAUGUCGGUCUCAAAGGACUAACAUUAUGUACAUUUUGUAGUAACUGAACGCAGCUCAACAGUAAAACCUGUUUGACUUAAUCUCCGUCUUUACUACCAGACUAUAAUGGUGUUUGUCUGAACUGGAUUUCCCUCCCACCCCGUUCCUCGCUGCCUCCUGAAUCCAAAACCCAAGCGUUGAGGAAGAAUUUUCGUCUCUCAUUCCUCGUAAACCCAACUGGGCUCAAAGCGUGAUCCGAUGGACGUCAGACCAGAUUUGAAACUACGUUUGGUGGCGGCCGUGGGAUCCAAAGAGAACUUCAGCCAGCUUCAGGGACAAGAAACGGAGACCUGGUACCUGCAAACCCCUUGAGUUCUCUUUGUCACCAUCUCUGAGGGCCCUGGGUAAGUACCUCUCGGUUUCGAGCUCUGCCCUCUUGGCCUUAAGCUCCCCAUCGAAUCGGCUGCCCAGUCCAGCGGUAACAUUCGGUUUGGACUCCCAGGAGGUGCCGGGCGAGUCCUCAGCCCUUGCUUACUCUGCAACCCCAGUCCAGGGCCUAGCUGCUCAGCCUGAGCUGGCAGGUGGUUCCACCUGGAACCUGAGUCCCCAGCCCUCGGCUAGCCCACGGCGCCCACCGUUGACAUGCGCUCGUUCAGUCCACAGUUGUGUGCUGGGAACCACGGGUGGUGCGCACGUAAGGCCUUGUCACGGCCAGUCCGCAGUAUCCUCUCCUUGCUCACUGCGGGUCUGUGAGCGUGCACGUGAGGUAAAGGAACAAUAAAUCUGUCGUUAAUGGGCAGCUCAGAAACCAGAGCUGGAAAGUCGGUGGGCACCUAAAAGCUGUUAGAGCGUGUGGCCACCCAACUCGAUGACCGUUAUAAGCUGGUUACGGAAUGGCCUAGAUGGACACUAGGUCACCCGCCAACCUCAAGAAAAUUUCCACCCAGUGAGGUACACGGUGGAACACCGCAAGAUUCCCAGCCCAGCGGUACGUCCCUCUUAACUGUCAACUUGUCUCUGACAAACCUAAGGCUUAGGCGACGAAAUGAGAUCCUCCGGUUCCAAGGAAUUGAGUGUGCCCCCUUCCGGCACAACUGCUUUUAUGUCUAAGAAGUAGGUCCCAGAAGCUGUACGUGACUACAAAGAUGGCAAGUAAAGCAAGCUAGAAUCACCAGGGCUGUUGUGUGAAAGGAUUUCAGCCUAAAAUGAAACCGGAGGAAAUGAAACGGAGAAGCUCAUGCCUGUGUCUUCAGGAGAAGGGAACUGAAAACUGGACCGAUUUCCUGGAAGGGCCUGAUUUACGGGAGACUGAGACUUCUCUCCAGCAUAGUGAACAUCUGCCCGGAAUGGCUCCUGUCCUCAAGCCAGUGAACUUACUGUUGGACCACGGACGCUGCCAGGAGAGACCGCCUUCUCCAAAGUACAAGACCACUGUGUAAGGAUAAGGCGCAGACAGACGAGCAAGUUUCACAGCAGCUCACUUGCCACCCACGAGACGAUUCCGUGCAACAAGGGACACCAGGUCAUAGGUCAGACAAGUAGGGCAAAGGCUGUCCUCCGUGAAGAGGACGUUUCCCACGAAAGGCACACUGUCGAACAAAACCCAAGUCGGCACCCUAAGUAUUCGGUACUCUUGGGAAGACUCUAAAGAUGGGAUCCCAGGCAUCUCAAUGCUGUAAGGGUGACCCUCACCCCAAAACCCCAGUGGUUUUAUGCUAAAAAAAAAAGAAGUUACGGUCUCUCAUGCACACAGACCGGCAGUAUUGAAGACAACUUGGAAUUGCAGUGGUCAUUACAAGGAAUGUUCCAGUUAGACAAGUUCCCUCAUUUAAGAAGUGCACUUGAAUGCAAGGGUUCCCAAAUGAAACAGACAGAACAGGUUACCUAUUUCAGUCAGCAUGCAGAAGCCUCCAGAAGGCUUCAAGAUUCCCAAACUGCUUCAUUGAAAGAUUGAUUGCAAAAGGGUAAUGAAAAGUUAAAGACCCAAGAGGGACCUAAAACGAGACCAUAUGACUGCUGGGACUCCUGGAACUCCCCUUUCUCCUCCUCUACACCCGAGCACUCAUAGUAUUAAUCCUCUGUCUGAAUGGUCUUUCCACCCGGAAGAGACUACAUGACCACACUCACACCAGUCUGUCAAAGGAGGGCCCCCAUACAGGCCCCUCACAGGAUUGACGGGAUUCUGAGGGAUUCUCUUGUAACCACUACCAGUCAUUCCUGGAACAGCUAAGGGGAAACUAAAAUUAAAGGGACCCCUUGUCAAGUUCUGGCAGAUGCACAACUUACACUCUGUACUUUGAACCCCACUUGCUCCAGAGCCCACAGAUGGGAAUCCUGGAAAAAGAAGGGCGAGAAUCCUUACCUGAGUUUGCUCUCCCAAGUUACUGUGGCCCACUCAAGAGAGGAAGGAAUCAAAGUUGUUCUCAUCAGAAGGGAAAAACUGUGGGAGAGUGGUGUUCUCCAAGGUGGAAAAUGUUGUCUUCACAAGUAUCAGUGAAAAGUUGAAGUCCCCUUGACUCACCCUUUUACCAGAAGCAUGAGGUGAAUGUGAUCCUCUUAUAAAUGGACCCUUGAUUGUUUUGCUCUGAUGAUUCUGCAAAACUGAAACGCAUGGAAAGAACCCUACCAAGAACUCUGGACCGCUGACAUUCCUGCCAAAUUAGAAGGUGUUGAACCCGGGUGCCUAUGUCACAACUGAGGAAGGCUCCAUCUGACUUUGGGUCCAGUACAAAAGCCGGAGACCUCAAACUCAAAUGCACCAGCAAGAGAGGUCGACUGCUUCUUCCCAAGAUGGGGGGUUUCAAUCCAUGUUCGCAGCCAUUAACCACCUAGCAAAUAAUCCCCCUAAGAACAGAACUUCAGAAAAGGAACAAAGAGAAUGACCAACGGAAAGAACGAACCUGAUGUCAUGACCCGUGAAUACCACACAGACAUUUGGCAAAAGACCACGAGAACUCCCGAGCUUUAGAGGGAAGCGGCCCUAAUGCCUUAAGUUGUGAUCCCAUCUCUCAGGCUGAGAAUCGGAUCAGAAGGAGGGACAUGUUGAAAACAAGAAAAUAGGCCCCAAAUGAGUCACUCGUGCUAAGGUCCACGUCACAGAACAGAUUUCACCGAACUUCGGCUCUCUCAGAAAUGCAGUCUUAAA